rnacentral:rRNA from 1 species
CUACGGGUCGCACCAGUGGGGAAUAUUGGACAAUGGGGGAAACCCUGAUCCAGCAAUGCCGCGUGUGUGAAGAAGGCCUGCGGGUUGUAAAGCACUUUCGGUUGGGAGGACUGCUUCUAGCACUAAUAUUGUUGGAAGUUGACGUUACCUUCAGAAGAAGCACCGGCUAACUCCGUGCCAGCAGCCGCGGUAAUACGGAGGGUGCAAGCGUUAAUCGGAAUUACUGGGCGUAAAGCGCGCGUAGGCGGCUAGAUCAGUCGGGUGUGAAAGCCCCGGGCUUAGCCUGGGAACUGCAUCCGAUACUGUCUAGCUUGAGUACAGGAGAGGAGAGUGGAAUUCCACAUGUAGCGGUGAAAUGCGUAGAUAUGUGGAGGAACACCAAUGGUGAAGGCAGCUCUCUGGCCUGAUACUGACGCUGAGGCGCGAAAGCGUGGGGAGCAAACAGGAUUAGAUACCCCCGUAGUC